CGAGAAAGGAAGGGAAGAAAGCGAAAGGAGCGGGCGCUAGGGCGCUGGCAAGUGUAGCGGUCACGCUGCGCGUAACCACCACACCCCGCCGCGCUUAAUGCGCCGCUACAGGGCGCGUCCAUUCGCCAUUCAGGCUGCGCAACUGUUGGGAAGGGCGAUCGGUGCGGGCCUCUUCGCUAUUACGCCAGCUGGCGAAAGGGGGAUGUGCUGCAAGGCGAUUAAGUUGGGUAACGCCAGGGUUUUCCCAGUCACGACGUUGUAAAACGACGGCCAGUGAAUUGUAAUACGACUCACUAUAGGGCGAAUUGGGCCCGACGUCGCAUGCUCCCGGCCGCCAUGGCCGCGGGAUUAGAGUUUGAUCAUGGCUCAGGAUGAACGCUAGCGGCAGGCUUAACACAUGCAAGUCGAGGGGUAUAGUAGCAAUACUAGAGACCGGCGCACGGGUGCGUAACGCGUAUGCAACCUACCUUUUACAGAGGGAUAGCCCAGAGAAAUUUGGAUUAAUACCUCAUGGUAUAAUUGAAUCGCAUGGUUUAAUUAUUAAAGUUCCAACGGUAAAAGAUGGGCAUGCGUCCUAUUAGCUAGAUGGUAAGGUAACGGCUUACCAUGGCUACGAUAGGUAGGGGUCCUGAGAGGGAGAUCCCCCACACUGGUACUGAGACACGGACCAGACUCCUACGGGAGGCAGCAGUGAGGAAUAUUGGACAAUGGGCGCAAGCCUGAUCCAGCCAUGCCGCGUGCAGGAAGACGCAUCUAUGGUGUGUAAACUGCUUUUGUACGGGAAGAAACACUCCCUCGUGAGGGAGCUUGACGGUACCGUAAGAAUAAGGAUCGGCUAACUCCGUGCCAGCAGCCGCGGUAAUACGGAGGAUCCAAGCGUUAUCCGGAAUCAUUGGGUUUAAAGGGUCCGUAGGCGGUUUGGUAAGUCAGUGGUGAAAGCCCAUCGCUUAACGAUGGAACGGCCAUUGAUACUGCCAGACUUGAAUUACUAGGAAGUAACUAGAAUAUGUAGUGUAGCGGUGAAAUGCUUAGAUAUUACAUGGAAUACCAAUUGCGAAGGCAGGUUACUACUAGUGGAUUGACGCUGAUGGACGAAAGCGUGGGUAGCGAACAGGAUUAGAUACCCUGGUAGUCCACGCCGUAAACGAUGGAUACUAGCUGUUCGGGGCAACCUGAGUGGCUAAGCGAAAGUGAUAAGUAUCCCACCUGGGGAGUACGUUCGCAAGAAUGAAACUCAAAGGAAUUGACGGGGGCCCGCACAAGCGGUGGAGCAUGUGGUUUAAUUCGAUGAUACGCGAGGAACCUUACCAAGGCUUAAAUGUAGAUUGACCGUUUUGGAAACAGAACUUUCGCAAGACAAUUUACAAGGUGCUGCAUGGUUGUCGUCAGCUCGUGCCGUGAGGUGUCAGGUUAAGUCCUAUAACGAGCGCAACCCCUGUUGUUAGUUGCCAUCGAGUCAAGUCGGGAACUCUAACAAGACUGCCAGUGUAAACUGUGAGGAAGGUGGGGAUGACGUCAAAUCAUCACGGCCCUUACGCCUUGGGCUACACACGUGCUACAAUGGACGGUACAGAGAGCAGCCACUGGGUGACCAGGAGCGAAUCUACAAAACCGUUCUCAGUUCGGAUCGGAGUCUGCAACUCGACUCCGUGAAGCUGGAAUCGCUAGUAAUC
rnacentral:rRNA from 1 species